CCCUUAGAUGUUCUGGGCCGCACGCGCGCUACACUGACGAAGGCAACGAGUCCCUUGGCCGGAAGGUCCGGGUAAUCUGCUAAACUUCGUCGUGAUGGGGAUAGAUUAUUGCAAUUAUUAAUCUUCAACGAGGAAUUCCUAGUAAGCGCGAGUCAUCAGCUCGCGUUGAUUACGUCCCUGCCCUUUGUACACACCGCCCGUCGCUCCUACCGAUUGAAUGGUCCGGUGAAGCGUUCGGAUGUGUGAGGCGAGACGGUCCGCCGUCCCUCCUCGUGCAGAAGUUCGUUAAACCUUAUCAUUUAGAGGAAGGAGAAGUCGUAACA
rnacentral:rRNA from 1 species